GACGAACGCUGGCGGCGUGCUUAACACAUGCAAGUCGAACGGGAUUUAGUAGACGGAAACCUCGGUGGAAGAUUACUAAUGAGAGUGGCGAACGGGUGAGUAACGCGUGAGCAACCUGCCUAUGACAGUGGGAUAGCCUCGGGAAACCGGGAUUAAUACCGCAUAAAAUCGUAGAAACACAUGUUUCAACGGUCAAAGAUUUAUCGGUCGUAGAUGGGCUCGCGUCUGAUUAGCUAGUUGGUGAGAUAACAGCCCACCAAGGCGACGAUCAGUAGCCGGUCUGAGAGGAUGAACGGCCACAUUGGAACUGAGACACGGUCCAAACUCCUACGGGAGGCAGCAGUGGGGAAUAUUGCACAAUGGGGGAAACCCUGAUGCAGCGACGCCGCGUGAACGAAGAAGGUAUUCGUAUCGUAAAGUUCUGUCCUAUGGGAAGAUAAUGACAGUACCAUAGAAGAAAGCUCCGGCUAAAUACGUGCCAGCAGCCGCGGUAAUACGUAUGGAGCGAGUGUUGUCCGGAAUUAUUGGGCGUAAAGGGUACGCAGGCGGUUUAAUAAGUCGAAUGUUAAAGAUCGGGGCUCAACCCCGUAAAGCAUUGGAAACUGAUAAACUUGAGUAGUGGAGAGGAAAGUGGAAUUCCUAGUGUAGUGGUGAAAUACGUAGAUAUUAGGAGGAAUACCAGUAGCGAAGGCGACUUUCUGGACACAAACUGACGCUGAGGUACGAAAGCGUGGGGAGCAAACAGG
rnacentral:rRNA from 1 species